rnacentral:sRNA from 1 species
CUUUAUCUCCGCGGCCAGAGAGAUUGACCACCAGCAGUUGCUCUUUUUCCGGCUGCUCGCGCAUCAUUUUCAGAGCGUGCGCCAACGCGUGGGAGGAC